GACGAACGCUGGCGGCGUGCUUAACACAUGCAAGUCGAACGGAAAGGCCCUGCUUUUGUGGGGUGCUCGAGUGGCGAACGGGUGAGUAACACGUGAGUAACCUGCCCUUGACUUUGGGAUAACUUCAGGAAACUGGGGCUAAUACCGGAUAGGAGCUCCUGCUGCAUGGUGGGGGUUGGAAAGUUUCGGCGGUUGGGGAUGGACUCGCGGCUUAUCAGCUUGUUGGUGGGGUAGUGGCUUACCAAGGCUUUGACGGGUAGCCGGCCUGAGAGGGUGACCGGCCACAUUGGGACUGAGAUACGGCCCAGACUCCUACGGGAGGCAGCAGUGGGGAAUAUUGCACAAUGGGCGGAAGCCUGAUGCAGCAACGCCGCGUGCGGGAUGACGGCCUUCGGGUUGUAAACCGCUUUCGCCUGUGACGAAGCGUGAGUGACGGUAAUGGGUAAAGAAGCACCGGCUAACUACGUGCCAGCAGCCGCGGUGAUACGUAGGGUGCGAGCGUUGUCCGGAUUUAUUGGGCGUAAAGGGCUCGUAGGUGGUUGAUCGCGUCGGAAGUGUAAUCUUGGGGCUUAACCCUGAGCGUGCUUUCGAUACGGGUUGACUUGAGGAAGGUAGGGGAGAAUGGAAUUCCUGGUGGAGCGGUGGAAUGCGCAGAUAUCAGGAGGAACACCAGUGGCGAAGGCGGUUCUCUGGGCCUUUCCUGACGCUGAGGAGCGAAAGCGUGGGGAGCGAACAGGCUUAGAUACCCUGGUAGUCCACGCUGUAAACGGUGGGUACUAGGUGUGGGGUCCAUUCCACGGGUUCCGUGCCGUAGCUAACGCUUUAAGUACCCCGCCUGGGGAGUACGGCCGCAAGGCUAAAACUCAAAGGAAUUGGCGGGGCCCCGCACAAGCGGCGGAGCAUGCGGAUUAAUUCGAUGCAACGCGUAGAACCUUACCUGGGUUUGACAUGGAUCGGGAGUGCUCAGAGAUGGGUGUGCCUCUUUUGGGGUCGGUUCACAGGUGGUGCAUGCCUGUCGUCAGCUCGUGUCGUGAGAUGUUGGGUUAAGUCCCGCAACGAGCGCAACCCUUGUUCACUGUUGCCAGCACGUUAUGGUGGGGACUCAGUGGAGACCGCCGGGGUCAACUCGGAGGAAGGUGGGGAUGACGUCAAGUCAUCAUGCCCCUUAUGUCCAGGGCUUCACGCAUGCUACAAUGGCUGGUACAGAGAGUGGCGAGCCUGUGAGGGUGAGCGAAUCUCGGAAAGCCGGUCUCAGUUCGGAUUGGGGUCUGCAACUCGACCUCAUGAAGUCGGAGUCGCUAGUAAUCGCAGAUCAGCAACGCUGCGGUGAAUACGUUCCCGGG
rnacentral:rRNA from 1 species